GACAUGGUUCCAGAGUGUGGCAUUAGGGAGACCAACUUCUGAGCUGCAGAUUCACAGCAUGGCCAUGCAGGCAGGGAAGAUGUGCUCUACUCCAGGAUCAAGGAGCAAGCCCAUAUUUCCUCUUGAUUCUGGGACUCCCUCUUGAGACUGAUUUGCUCUAAUGUUAGCUCUUGAGAGAACUGGGGUCCCUGCCUUCUUGGGGAGCCUGAAAAGAAGUUUUGCUGUCUGGGCAUCACAGCAUCCAGAGUGUACAGGAGACAGGUCAGCAGCUGCGGUCAGCAGAGGCACACACGCCAGCCCCUGGAGAUGGGUGGCUUGUCCUGAGCCAAAGCUGGGCUGGUUUAUAAACAGCACCUGUGAAAAGAAGAGGGAUGACUCCAGUGGGACAUUCCUGAACCAUGUGCACCUAUUCACCUAGGAGAAGGAAUGGCUGGAGUUGCAUCUAUCUUUCUGUUUAUGAAAUAUGGGCCCAACUCCAGCGACAACAUAAUUUUUAGACCAUUUAGUGGAAUAAUAAAAGUCAAAAGAGGAAAGAGAACUUACAUGGAUUGAACACCCACUGCAUGCUUAGCUCUCUGCUAGGUGCAUUACAGAAAAGAGCUUAUUGAAUUCUUACGCAAACCCUUGAGGAUGAAUGGCCGCUCACCUGGAGUCUUGAUAGCCAGGUGAUGCAGAUUUAGGAGAAGAAGUCCACCUCAGGUCAGGUUUCCCCAAAGGCAGAUCCUGAGAUGAGGAAUCCAGGACCUAUCACUUACUUGGGAGAGGCAGAGUUUCCUUAUGUUGCCCAGGCUGGCCUCAAAGUCCUGACCUCUAGCCAUCCUCCUGCCUUGGCCUCCCAAAGUGCAGGAAUUACAGCUACCACUUCCUCCACGAGAUGACUUGCUCUCUGGAUUGGAGGUGUGUCUGCAUUUCAGGAACAAGCAACUUUUCUCUGUGGCUACAGGCUGUACUCUGAACCUCCACCAUUGGAAAGUCAACUCCUGCUACGUCCUGUUCAGCAAGGAUUUGAGCAGGUUUGGUGAAGCCAAGAAUUACCUGUAUAAAGUCGAAAAGUGCUUCCACUGAUGCAACACGGCAGUCCUUUUCAGGUAAUCUUACCAGCAGGCUCCUUCUUCUCACGGAAGAGCCAUGUUAACAAUAAACUUUGGCUAGAGGGUGCUGUGGAAAUGGUAAAAUAUGGAGAUUAUUCUGUGAAAAAUUAUGGGUGAUUUGAGAGUAAAAGCAAGAAGCUAUUGGCAUUAGGCAGAAUACAUAGAAAAUAAAACAUAAACUCACUUUUGUAAUCAAUCCAGGAUGGCAUGGAUUGAAUGGAUUGACAAGGGUGCAUGGUUGAAUGGUCAACACUCUUCACCUGCCAGUGCAGAGCCCUAAAAUGAACACUUAACCACCAUCAGGGUGAGAGGCAGCUCUUUGAUACUGGUGGUCGGGGGGCGGGGGUGGUGUCAGUCUCAUUAACCAGGGCAGUGAGGGUUGGCUGAAGUAUCUGGCCACCGGAAAUCCUAUUGUCUCAGCUCAGUUGAGGAAACCAGUAGCCUUAAAUGGGGGAUAAAACUGAUGGACCAGGCUGCAAGUGGCCCAUCACACAGAGCAGGCCUGGGAUGUUCCUAUCAAGGCAAUAGGAAGCCCUCCCUGUCCACGCAGUGAUGGUAGAGCCAGUCCAGAAGCACAAGCCCAGAAGCAACCUGGGUGUCUACAUGGAGGAAUGAUUCUUGUCCCUCCCAAGGCUCUUAUAGAUUCUGUUCCCUGAUAUUCUUCCCAUGUGUGUGGGACACAGGGGAAGCUGGGAAGGGUGGCACAAGUAUCUUUUCUGUAUUUAUUCAGAUAAUUUAAUGUUUAUUUUCUAGUUCUUACCAUGGUGAGUUACAUUGAUUGAUCUUUCAAAUGUUAGGCCAACUUUACAUUCCUGGGAUGAAAUCCACUUGGUCGUGACCUAUUGUCUUCUUAUGUAUCAUUGGAUUUGAUUCACUAAAAUACUGCUAAGAAGUUUUGUGUCUAUGCUUGUCGUAGGAAAAUAGCCAAUUACAUGGCAAGAGUGGCGCCAUCUUGAAUUGAAACUCCCAUGAUGACUGUUGUUUGACUCUUGCAUGCCAAGGUGGUCUGCAGCAAGGUCUUUAAACAAUGCUCAUAGCUUAGAUAACCCCUCAUAAAGAUGCUUAUCUAACCUCCCCAGUAGUCUUGAGUUUAACAAGAAACACAGAUGUGACUAGCUACCACAUAUUUUACCAAAAAACUUGUAAUAUAACAGAUAUUUUCUAAAAGGUGAGUGCAGAGAUCCACUGCCUAAUGGCCACCCAAGACAUCUCUCCUGUUCAUAAGCUCCUAUUAAAUAUUUCUUUUUAAGAAACUGGAUUUUUCAGCUGUUUUAUUCAGCCUCUCAUCUCCCUCAGCCUUUGCGGGCAGGUUUACUUAUACCUGCUCACUGCGGAGCAUUUGUCUUGGUCUGUUUUGUGUUGCUAUAACAGAAUAUCAUAGACUGGAUAAUUUAUAAAGAAAAGAGGCUUAUUUCGCUCACAGUUCUGGAGGCUGGGAAGUUCUAUAGCAUGCUACCCACAUCUGGUGAGGGCCUUCUUGCUGCAUCAUAACUUGGCAGAAGGGCAAGAGAGCAUGUGAGACAGACAGAGGCACCAGGUGCUGGACCCACUUUUAUAUCUGCCCACUCUUGUGAUAACUUACCCAUAAUAACUACAUUAAUCCAUUCAUGAGGGCUUCACCCUCAUGAUCCAAUCCCCUCUUAAUAAGCCCCACCUCCCAAC